rnacentral:tRNA from 1 species
GCCGGUGUGGCGGAACUGGUAGACGCGCGAGACUCAAAAUCUCGUAUUGGUAACAAUGUGUGGGUUCGAUUCCCUCCACCGGCACCA